AUAUAACUAAAGCUCAAAUGUAAAUUCCAUGAUUCUUGUUCCUGCAUGGCCAAAAUGUUUUCGUCUUUCGACCCUAGUAAAUCUAACGUGUGUUAAGGUGCGAAAACGAACACAGUACUUGUACUUUGAACAGACUGAGCACAUGAGCUGUUUACUUAGAUACGUUUUUCGUGCCAUGUUUUGACGUAAAUGAAAAUACAAGGUGCAUCGAGGCCUUAAAUUGGGGCUAUCUUGGCUCAGCCUGUCCAGGCAUCCUACUGCGGAAGGAUGGACUGCUGCUUUCAUCUGUGGAACUACAAUGCAAUGUUAUUAACUGAUCACUGAAAAGCAGCACAGGACCAACAGGAGAUCCAACUACAUAAAGGUUAUCCAGAUGCUUCUAAUUUCUUCUCCUGUAUCCACAGUCUGGGACAUCAUUUGGGAUUUACAUUUUCUGAAAAAAAUUAUGUCUGGUCUUCUCUGAGAUAUAUGAAAUAUUUGUUUUCAAUAAG